rnacentral:rRNA from 1 species
GACGAACGCUGGCGGCGUGCCUAAUACAUGCCAGUAGAACGCUGAAGGAGGAGCUUGCUCUUCUGGAUGAGUUGCGAACGGGUGAGUAACGCGUAGGUAACCUGCCUGGUAGCGGGGGAUAACUAUUGGAAACGAUAGCUAAUACCGCAUAACAGUAGAUGUUGCAUGACAUUUGCUUAAAAGGUGCAAUUGCAUCACUACCAGAUGGACCUGCGUUGUAUUAGCUAGUUGGUGGGGUAACGGCUCACCAAGGCGACGAUACAUAGCCGACCUGAGAGGGUGAUCGGCCACACUGGGACUGAGACACGGCCCAGACUCCUACGGGAGGCAGCAGUAGGGAAUCUUGGGCAAUGGACGGAAGUCUGACCGAGCAACGCCGCGUGAGUGAAGAAGGUUUUCGGAUCGUAAAGCUCGGUUGUAAGGGAAGAACGAGUGUGAGAGUGGAAAGUUCACACUGUGACGGUAUCUUACCAGAAAGGGACGGCUAACUACGUG